ensembl:lncRNA SOX5-AS1 SOX5 antisense RNA 1
AAUGCUCAUCACAUAAACAUGAAGUUUCCUCCAAAAGGAAUGAUGACUAAUGCUUUGAGGAAACAGCAGACGUCAGACAGCAAGCCCAGAAAAACCUGCCAGCACCAAGAGGGUGUCCUCAACAGGCGCCUGGGGGACAUAUUAUUCUAACUAAAGAGACCAGAGCUUCCCCAGGAAGGGAAGAGGAGAGAAAUGAAGAACGUCUGUGUUCAUGUUUGCCAAAAACAAAAGUCUGAGAAAUCUCUGAGAGACUCUACAUGGGAGGGCACUAAUCGAAGCACCUCAUUUAAAGUGAGAAAAGCUUUGCUAAGGGCAGAUGAUUCAGCACGGUAUCCUUCGAUGAGUACUGUCAUCUCAAAUCCUUUUUAAGAAGAAAAGUGCAACCCACUGGAGAAAGAGAGGGACUCCGAGGAAGGAGAGAGAGAAGAGCAUCAAGCACAAAUGAUGAUCUCCUAGGACAGUGGCAGCUUCUGAGAAUGCACAGGAAAGUGACCAGGGAAAGAAUGAUUCCAUCUCCAGGAAUCCCUGGUGAUCUUCAGAGCCCAGACAGGACCCUGCUGGGCCAUGGUAACUGAGAAACUGAGAAGCAGAUACAGUGGUCCCUAUGUUGGCAACCUCAGCUGAAGAGGAACAACUCUCUCUAUAAUCAAGACUUAAUCUUGGCCUGGUGUGCCUCAUUUUUAUAGGACUUCUGAAACCAGAAAUCACCAGCGUGGGGAGAGAACAUUAAAGGCAGAGGUGUCUCUUAUAAGCACAACGUGUGACCAGAACUUGGAUUACUGUCAGCUUCUAGUGUCUCCAUCAUUCAUAAUUGCACUGUGUUGGUCCACCCACUUUACUCCUAAAGAAGAGGUACUAUUAUCUCAAUUUUAGAGAUGGAAAAACUAAGCAACAAGUAGUUACAGAAGUUGUCCAGGAUCGCACAGUUAGACAACGGCAGUCAAGUUCUGGUGAGCCCAAAGGCUCCAUCUUAACCACUCUUCUAGGCUACCUCUCCAGGAUGGAAGACACUAUCUUUUCAGGUUUCCAUUCAAUAGAAAAGUCAUCUUGAAGAAGUUUGAUGUUGGAUUUGAUUUUGAAAGACGAAUUGGAGAUUAAGAAGUGGUAAUAAGAGUAAAGAAAAAAACCCAAAUAGAAUUACAAGCACAAAGAGAUGUAGAAAUAAAUAUUUCUUGGAAAGAUAA